CAGUAGCCACGGUAAUACGAAGGGGGCUAGCGUUGUUCGGAAUUACUGGGCGUAAAGCGCACGUAGGCGGAUAUUUAAGUCAGGGGUGAAAUCCCAGAGCUCAACUCUGGAACUGCCUUUGAUACUGGGUAUCUUGAGUAUGGAAGAGGUGAGUGGAAUUCCGAGUGUAGAGGUGAAAUUCGUAGAUAUUCGGAGGAACACCAGUGGCGAAGGCGGCUCACUGGUCCAUUACUGACGCUGAGGUGCGAAAGCGUGGGGAGCAAACAGGAUUAGAUACCCGGGUAGUCCCUGUCUCUUAUAC
rnacentral:rRNA from 1 species